rnacentral:rRNA from 1 species
UACGUAGGGGGCAAGCGUUGUCCGGAUUUAUUGGGCGUAAAGAGCGUGUAGGCGGCCAAGCAGGUCCGCUGUGAAAACUCGAGGCUCAACCUCGAGACGUCGGUGGAAACCGUUUGGCUAGAGUCCGGAAGAGGAGAGUGGAAUUCCCGGUGUAGCGGUGAAAUGCGCAGAUAUCGGGAAGAACACCCGUGGCGAAGGCGGCUCUCUGGGACGGUACUGACGCUGAGACGCGAAAGCGCGGGGAGCGAACAGG